UAUAUUCCAAAAUCUGCUCUGUUCUGUGUUUAACUACGGUUUAAUACUCAAAACACAAAUAGUGUGUGUAUGUGCACUGCUGGGGGUUCCAUACAACUGCCUCUAAUAUUUUUGUGGAUGGACAAUGCAUUAUUUGUGUAACAGUUUAUUGUUAUUAGGGGUCAAGCCCCGAAGGGGCGUAGACACCUAUUGUUAUCGUUAGUCUUCUUCUUCUUCUUCUUCUUAUUAUUAUUAUUAUUAUUAUUAUUAUUAUUCCGUCCGUCAUUGAAGUCAAUGGCAGCCCAUAGAACCGUACGUAGGAAAGUUAUGAAAUUUGGCACAGAAGUUACUGUAGCAACUUUGGUGUGUCUAGCUCAAACCGUCUAGCGCCACCAACAGUCCAAAAACCCAAUUUAGAGGCCUAGAGGCAAAAUUCUUGCAACAUCAGAAGCAGAAUAAGAAUCACAAAGGUCUUUAUUGCCAAGUAUGUUUAGGCAAAAUUCUUGCAAAAUCAGAAUCAGAUCCAGAAUCAGAAAGGUCUUUAUGAGGGACACACACACACUUACACACACAUUUACACUCACAUACUCACACACACACACUCUCACACACACACAGACACACACACACACUCACACACACACACUCACACACACACUCACACAGUCACACUCACACACACACACACAGACACUCACACACACACUCACACACACACACCCUCUCACACACACACAGACACUCACACAGACGAGGAACACACACACUUACACACAUUUACACACACACACUCGCACACUCACAUACUCACACACACUCACAUACACACAUUUACACACACACACUCUCACACACACACUCUCACACACAUUUACACACACACACACUCUCUCACACACUCACACACUCACACUCACACACACACACUUACUCACAAUCGAAAACACACACUCACACACACUCACAGACACACAGACAUGCACACAAACACACACACACAGACACACACACACACUCACACGCGCUCACACGCGCGCACACACACACACACGGGGUCAAGCCGAUCAGAUGCGCUCAGAACAUGUCGCUGAUGAAACAUACCAAGUUUCCACACUUGCACACUCACAUACUCACUUGCACACUCACAUACUCACACACAUACUCACACACACACAUUUACACACACAUGCACACUCACACUCACACAGACACACUCACACACACACUUUAUUGCCAAUUAUGUUUUCACAUACGAGAAACACACACACACACAUUUACACACACACACACUCAUUCACACUCGCACACUUACUCACACUCGCACACUCACAUACUCAUUCGCACACUCACAUACACACACUCACAGUUACACACUCACUCACACUCACUCACACUUACACACACUCACACUCGCACACUUACUCACACUCACACUUACACACACACUCACACUUACACACACACUCACACUUACACACACACUCCCACACACACUCACACUUACACACACACUCACUUACACACACACAUUUUGAAUUUUCACGUUAAGUUCAGUAUUUUACCAAUAAAAUGCCAUAUCGCUACGAAACUUGGUAUGGUUCAUCAGCAACAUGUUCUGAGCGGAUCUGAUCGGCUUGACCCCGGUAUCGCUGCUUGCAGCUAUAUUUAUUAUUAUUUUUACUCUAAACAUGUUUUAUCAACACUAGCUAGUCUGUUAGCAAAGGUUUGUAUCCCAAGUGAUUCUCAAAAUAUGUGCAAUCCAAUGUAUCACUCCAUAAAGGCAAAGUGUUAACUAUAGUUCAAAACUGGUAAACUUUAGCAAAACAUAUAGUUCCAGGUGUAGUUUCUCUUAAAAAAAAAAGGAAAAGAAAAUCUGAAUUAAGUAAAAAUAUGAGUGCUGAACCAUAAAAUUAAAUAAAUAAGCAAACGUGGGACAGUGAUGUGGAAAUAAAUAAAUGUUUUGUGUAUUUAUAUGUCGUUAAAUAAUUAUCAGAGUGACUGAAGUGUAGAUUUUAAUUCAAGGAGUUCAACAAAAAAUAUUGCAUUAACUGUUUAGGAAUUAUAGUAAUUUUUACUUAGCCAAACCAACACACACACAUACACACACUUUCACAGGCUCAACCAGCAUAUGUAAUUAUAAAUUCAAGGUUUAUUUUAUUUAGACUGCCUGAAGUCUGGAACCCAUGGACAUCAACAACUGCAAAAUUUCCUCACUUGAGAUGGUUUGCCAGACUUUACUGCAGUCAUCUUAAGUUGCUGCCGGUUUGUGGGCCUUUCUGCCUUCGUUAAGUGAAAAGCAUGUCGAUCGGCUUAAGGUUACGUGACUGACUCUACUGAAGAACGUUACAUUUGUUUGCCUUAAGAAGCUUCUUGGAUCGCAUUUUGCAGCAUGUUUCAGGUCCUUAUCCAUCCAUUACCAUCAAAAUUAUGACAAGUGUGUCUCUGUCCAAAUACUUACGGACCCAACAAUACUUCGUAUUAAUCUUUAUUGGUGCUAAAUCUUGUUUUGUCCAGGAUUUAAAUGAAUGUCAUGAAUACAGAGUGUGAAUAAUAUGUACAUUGAUAUUUCCAUCUUAAGCAUAUGAUGACAGAUCUUAUAAGUCUUAUACUUGUAAUUCAUUAUCAGGUCACCACCUUAACUUAAUGCUUACAUCACAUUAGGUCCAUCAACGAUCCUGAGCACCCGCUGUCUCUUGAGGAGUUAAAUGUGGUGGAACAAGUGCGUGUAAAAGUGAAUGAUGAGGAGAGCAAAGUCUCUGUGGAGUUCACACCAACCAUCCCUCACUGUAGCAUGGCUACUCUUAUA